GACGAACGCUGGCGGCGUGCUUAACACAUGCAAGUCGAACGGAAAGGCCCUGCUUUUGUGGGGUGCUCGAGUGGCGAACGGGUGAGUAACACGUGAGUAACCUGCCCUUGACUUUGGGAUAACUUCAGGAAACUGGGGCUAAUACCGGAUAGGAGCUCCUGCUGCAUGGUGGGGGUUGGAAAGUUUCGGCGGUUGGGGAUGGACUCGCGGCUUAUCAGCUUGUUGGUGGGGUAGUGGCUUACCAAGGCUUUGACGGGUAGCCGGCCUGAGAGGGUGACCGGCCACAUUGGGACUGAGAUACGGCCCAGACUACUACGGGAGGCAGCAGUGGGGAAUAUUGCACAAUGGGCGGAAGCCUGAUGCAGCAACGCCGCGUGGGGGAUGACGGCCUUCGGGUUGUAAACCGCUUUCGACUGUGACGAAGCGUGAGUGACGGUAAUGGGUAAAGAAGCACCGGCUAACUACGUG
rnacentral:rRNA from 1 species